rnacentral:rRNA from 1 species
AUUGAACGCUGGCGGCAGGCCUAACACAUGCAAGUCGAACGAGUGGCGGACGGGAGAGUCAUGUGGGGAAAAUUGCCAGAUGGAGGGGGAUAACUACUGGAAACGGUAGCAACUACCGAAUACCAUCGGCUUUUCCCAGAUGGGAUUAGCUAGUAGGUGGGGUAAAGGCUUACCUAGGCAACGAUCCCCAGUUGGUCUGAGAGGAUGACCAGCCACACUGGAACUGAGACACGGUCCAGACUCCUACGGGAGGCAGCAGUAGGGAAUAGUGCGCAAUGGGCGAAAGCCUGAUGCAGCCAUGCCGCGUGUGUGAUGAAGGCCUUCGGGUUGUAAAUCACUUUCAGCAGGGAGGCGUUACCCACAGAAGAAGCACCGGCUAACUACGUGCCAGCAGCCGCGGUAAGAC